rnacentral:rRNA from 1 species
UACGGGGGGGGCAAGCGUUGUUCGGAAUUACUGGGCGUAAAGGGCUCGUAGGCGGCCAACUAAGUCGGACGUGAAAUCCCCAGGCUCAACCUGGGAACUGCGUCUGAUACUGGAUGGCUUGAAUCCGGGAGAGGGAUGCAGAAUUCCAGGUGUAGCGGUGAAAUGCGUAGAUAUCUGGAGGAAUACCGGGGGCGAAGGCGGCAUCCUGGACCGGCAUUGACGCUGAGGAGCGAAAGCCAGGGGAGCAAACGGG